AUGAAGGUCUUCUGAUUGUAAAGUUCUUUUAUUUAGGAAAAAAAGCUUGAUAGGAAAUGAUUAAGCCUUGAUUGUACUAAAUGAAUAAGUGACAGCUAACUAUGUGCCAGCAGCUGCGGUAAAACAUAGGUCACGAGCAUUAUCCGGAUUUAUUGGGCGUAAAGGAAGCGUAGGCGGACAAAUUGAUCUAUUGUUAAAGGCACUUGCUCAACGAGUUGUUUGUGAUAGAUAUCGUUUGUCUAGAAUUAGUUAGGAGAUACUGGAAUUCAAUGUGUAGCGGUGGAAUGCGUAGAUAUAUUGAGGAACACCAGAGGCUAAGGCGAGUAUCUAGGACAUAAUUGACGCUGAGGCUUGAAAGCGUGGGGAGCAAAUGGGAUUAGAUACCCCAGUAGUCCACGCCGUAAACGAUGGGUAUUAGGUAUUUGGUCUAGGACUGAGUGCUGUAGCUAACGCGUUAAAUACCCCGCCUGGGUAG
rnacentral:rRNA from 1 species